GGACGGGUCACGCUGCGCUUCGCGUAGGCCAUGGCGGGACAGCAAGACGGGGAGCCCACAAAUUACAUCGCGCGCCUCUCGGAAUGGGCAGACUCGCACCUGGGCCUCGUCCGGAAUAUCAGCACAGGAUUGGCAGUAGCUGGAGUAAUUUUACUUGCAAAGAGUGUUAAAUUGACAACCAAAUUCACAAGCGCUCUGGAAAUACCAACAGAAUUUGUAGAGAAGAAUGUUAAGCUUCGGGGACGAUUACGCCAGAUAACUGAACAAGGAUUAGAAGUCGAACAUGUUCCUAUUAGGUUUCCGAUAAUUUCAUCACUGCAGAGGAGAUGGACUAUGGAUGGUUUGCUGCUGGUCAGGCUUGCUGGUGUGGAGCUAACGCCAGAUGGUUCGGUCUGGUUAAAGAAAGAGUUAAAACCCUCCCAAAUGAUGUGGUUCCAACUUCUUGCAAGGAAGGAUUCAGUACUUGAUUGCCUUGUGGUAGUCAGUAAGGGCAGGUUUUCAAGCAUCUGUCUGAAUGAAGAAAUCCUGAGACAAGGGCUUGCCAGGACUGUUUGGGUUGAAGGACUGACUCACGAAUCCCAGAUGUACUGGAAGAUUCACAAAAGGCUACUCCAAGCGGAGCUGAAGGCUGUGAAGAGAAAAAAAGGGCUCUGGAAAGAAGCAACGUUCUUUGAGAAACUUAGAGAGCGGAUACAUAAUAAUAAAUACAUGCAGAGGUUAAAACAGUUUGCAACCUGGCUAAGAAUCCGCCUCUGAAACCCCAUGGUUUUUUUUCUUUUUAAAUAUGCCAGAUGGACAAAGCACCAACUUGUUAGGGCUUUCCUCCUGCCACAAUAAUAUACCAGGCUGAUGUCUGGUUGUGUGUUGAUAGUUCCUGUUGCAUGACAAAAGAAGAUGGAAAAAUGUCACCAAAACAUUCGAACUGAGGGAAAUAAUGCCUAUGAUCUGGUUAAAUAUCAGAUUGAUCUGGUGUGAAUGUGAGUUUUUAAGAAGAAACAACAUGAGGCCAGAGAGAGAAGAAAAGACUCGCUUGAACAGAGGAAGAGAGAUAAUCUAGAGCAUCACAAAUCUCUAGGUACUAUACAGAAAUGAAAAAUAAAACAGUCUAAAGGUGAGGAAGUCAGAUCUGUCUCUGAAGUGCUUAGAAGGUUUGCACUGCAAGAAGUAAUUCUGUUGGUGGAAAGGUGGGACGUGACUAUUUUAAAUAAGCUCAGGCAAACUGGAAUAAGUAGCAGAGCAUGUGGCACACCUUCUUUCCAGCAAGACUGCACAUGGAUCCUCGUGCAUUUGGCCCUCAGCUCAUGGGAGCCACAGUCAAAUAUCAAUCUGAUGUAUAGGGCUGCCUGGAACCCCGAGGAACGGAGGGGGUGUAAAUAUUUUAAUAAAAUUAAUUGUUGGGUCUGCUUUUGAAUGCAUCAGCUGAGUGGUCAUGUACGCGUACAUCACUCCAUCCUGUAAAGUUGUGAGUCAUCGCAGCAAGUUCCAUUUAUGGGGGCAGCAUUAUGCAGAACCUCCUUGCUGUGGGUGGAUGUGGGUUGAAAAUGAUAAGGUUUUAGUAAUGUUUAAAAACCUAGGCAACAGUGAUGUUCUUCAAAGAAGGCUGCAAAUAGUUGUGUGGAUUGGGCCUCCUCUAUCACAAGGUUGCUGCCAGAGUUUGUCCGUUUUGCCACACCGAAAGCGUAAACAAUCAGUUGCAGUUCUUGCUUUCUCACGUUGCCGUUCACGUUGCUGGGUUUAUGCCAGUACUUUUGCAAACGAAAUGGAGGUGGUGAUGGCCCGCCCAAAUGUGUGUUAGAACUUGAGUUCGGCUUGGUCCGAAGUUUAUUUCUCAUGUAACUGGACUGGAAGCUGUCCUUUGUGAUUCCAUGGAUGAAAUUUAUCACACGAUAUGCAGAAACUAACUUCAUUCAAACCGCUUCCCGCUGGGUGUGGCACCCACGUUGGUUGCUGACCAUGAAGCAAAUCUUACUAAUUUCAAAGGGUCUGAAUGGGUCACAGAGAAAGUACAUCUGAUAAGCAGUUUAUGGACAAACUAAUUUUAGAUUAAGACUUUCCAAAGAACACAUUUGGAAGCAGGUUCCCUUGAAACAGAAGACUUGCAUCUAAAGCACUGUGUGCCGCACUGGGGUAUUUGUUUCAGUCUAGUCUUCCUUAUGUACGCCUGCCAAGGUUAAUUGGUCCAAUCGCAAGAUCUGAGGAAAGGGAUUUUUGUGUUUACUUUGGUAGAACACUUUGUGUUUUGAACCAUGUAUUUAUUGCUUAACUGGAACUUAGCUUGAUGAUAAGCUUACUGUUUUAAUAAUUGUGUCUGAAAAUCUAGACAAUGGAAAGAUUUUGCAUGGAGAAUUAAAUUUGGGUUUUUUUUAAAGCAACUCAUUCCAGCUGUUUUGCUUCUGUUUUGUGUCAUCUUUGCAAAUUAGACCCUUCCGAAGUACCUUAUAUUGUCUGAAAGAUCAGUACAAUCCUAAAUUCAUUUCACCGUUGAAGUCAUUGGGUUUAGAAGGGUUUAACUCUGUUUAGGAUUGCACUGUUUAUUAUUCUUAUGGCUCUUGUUCCAGCAUCGGAGCUCAAAGCAGACAGCCUGUUUGCACUGUGCUUGGAGUUUCCCUGGCUGGCAGAUGGAACUCUGUGAUUGUCAAGUGUGAAACUGCCAACAAUGGGAGGUGCUCAUGUAGCUCAUGUUGUAUUGGUAGUGUUGCAUCUCAGCAGUGCAGCUUUUGUCUUGUCAAAGAGAUGUAUCAAAAAAAUCUGAUGAUGUAACAUAUGGCAAUUAUAUUUAAAAAGGGUGGGUGGGUGGGUGAGAUUCUGAGCUGGAUCCUUGGCAGAAGGGGCCCUUAGUAAGCUAGUUUCUGCAUCAUCCUUUCCAGCCCUUGGCUAGGUGAUGCCUUUUAGCAGACAUCCUCCCCUCCCACUUGCUGGUAACCCCACCAUGUGUUGACGCGCAAAUGUCGGGUAAGUAGAGUUGCAGCCUUCUAAAGCCCUUGAAAUCAGUGAGUUUAGCAGAGUGUAACUCUGUUUAGAUUGCACUGUCUGUAAAAUCCAGAAUAAGGGCUUAGUUUGCUGAAUAAUUUGUGAACAUAAGUUUGUAUCUGUUAUUUUGAUACCUGACUUUGCAAGGUUCCUUCCACAAAUUCCAUCUAAUGCAUAGGAAAAGGUAAAGGUAGUCCCCUGUGCAAGGACCAGGUUAUUACUGACCCGUGCAGUGACAUCCCAUCACAACGUUUGUUAGGCAGACUGUAUACAGGGUAGUUUGCCAUUACGUUGACCUUGGAAGGAUGGAAAGCUGAAUCAAGCUUGAACCUGAUUUUCAGUGGAAUCGAACUCAGAUUGUGAGUUAACUGUGCUUUAACUGCAGCUUGCCACUCUUUGCCACAGGGCUCCCUCACCAAAAUCAAGUGCCAUAAUAAAGCAAUUGGAGACUCAAAUUCUGCAAGGAGUUUUGAGUAAGAAGGUAGCCUUGUAUAGUUUAUUGCAACAGCUGUUAGUAUCCAUGGAAUAUAAUCAAGCCAAGAUAUCGCUGAAACAGGAUUGUGGAUGUUGAAAGGCAACCACAUUUAAACAGGGCUAAAAAGUGGCCAUUUGAUGCAUCCACUUUGAAUAAGGUAACACCAGUAACACCGAUGCUGGAUCUUUACAAUCUAGCAAAUCACGAGUGUAGGAGAGCAUUCACAUUAUUGAGUUACAACUAUUUGCAGUCUGCAACUCCUGAAGAGAGAUAUAAAAAAUUCAGUUGGAUAAGCGAUUAUGUCCCUGUUGCAAUGGAAGAGUAGAGCCUAUCGAACAUGUUAUCUUAGUUUGUAAGAUGUACAGUCAGAUUCAUGAAACUCUUAUAAAGCCCAUAACUAUAGCUCACUCAGAGAGGCAUUUGAGCCUUUACGUAUUUCUAAUAUGCUUGCAGAUACAAACCCAGAGAUAGCAUGUAAAGGGGCCAAAUUUGGGUGGCUGGUAUUUAAAAUAAGGAGGGACCUAUUUAAAUCCUCUGAGGAAUCUUUUAAACAUAAAUAUUUAUGUUUUUAUGACUCUGUGAUCCUUGAUUAUACAAUUACAUCAUAUUUAUGCUAACCAUUAUAUUUAAUUUAUUUUAUGUAUUUUUGCAUCUUUUAUAUGUUCUGGUCAUUGACCGUAAUAAAUAAAUGUUGUUGUUGUUGGCUGGCUGUUACCACACAUUUAUAACAAAAAAAUCUGCAUGUCCAUCCAUCUGUUCAUUUGUGGCAUCAGAAAAUAAAACUAGGAAUCUCAAAAUCAUU